rnacentral:tRNA from 2 species
GCCCUCGUGGCGGAACUGGCAUACGCGUCAGCCUUAGGAGCUGAUUCCCGCAAGGGAUUGGAGGUUCAAAUCCUCCCGGGGGCA